rnacentral:tRNA from 1 species
GAGAGAGGCUUUUAGCAAUGAAGACUGCUAAUCUUCAAGACUUUGGUUAAAUUCCAAGGCUCACUCG